GUAAGGAACCUGGUUCCUUACAGAACCAAAUGGUCGAGUCAUUAGAUUUGGAAGGAGAAGACUUUAAAGUCUCAAAGAGUGCUGUCAGGCAGAAUGAUGAGUUCCAAUACUAGAAUCACCUCGUUGUUCCUCCAAGUCCUAAUGUUUCUUAAUAAGAAGUAACAUACUUCUAUGUUUUAUGUGAUACUAUAAUGCUAUAUGUGCAUGUGACUACAUUUGUCAUUGAUGAAUGAAGCUUGGGGAGAGUCUUGGUGAUAUGAUUGAUGGUUCAACCUAUUCAGUAGGUUGAGAACCUGGUCCUCGAGGACCCCUGGCAGAAUAGAAUGCUAUGUUGAAGGGUGAGAAUGAAAGAUUGAGGAAACAUGUGGAGGAAUUGAGGGAUCAAGAUGACCAUUGAUCAAAGGAGAGUGUAGAUGAACACAUGGAUAAGCUCAUCAAAUCCUUAGCCCCUUACUUUUCCUCUUGCCCAGUGAUCCAUGUCUUUCACUCUUUCCGAAUUCCCUUGAAUUCUUAUCCUUUUAUGAUCCCUAUAUUUGAUGACAUUGGUACGUCAGUUGUUUAAAUUGUCAUAUUAUGUAUUGUUGAAACUACUAUGAUUUUAUUAUCAUUAAUUCACUAUAGGCAAUCACUCUAAGUUGUGCACUGACAUUCACUUAAUUGUUCUUGUUAUUGUUAUGCUGUGUUGCCCAAGUGGCCUGAGUUAAUGUUGUUGAACUUCUUUUUGGUAGUACUUCUUCUAUUAUUCUUUUAGAUAAUACCAAAAUGGGGAAGUUAUACUGGGUCAACAGGGGAGGAACAUAAUCGAAUGAUGUUCAUGAAAGAUGGAUCUGCUUCGCAGGGGGAACAUUGUUGAUAAUGGCAGGGAAACACAUGAGGAAUAUGGUUCUCUAGUUCUCAAGAGAUAGCUCUAAUUUUCAGGGGGAACAUUGCUGAUAAUAUGUUAAUUAUAGGUUUGAUUCACAGGAAAUAUGUGAUGAAUCUGGGUUUGUUAUCAUCAAAAAAGAGGGAAAUUGAUAAGUUAUAGAACUUUGAGUUUUGUUGAUUUGCCAAAUAGUCUUGAGGAACCAGUUGUGAUUGGCUCCUUAGGUUCGGUUUUCAUGGUGAAUAUGGCUGUUUCGUAAGGGGAACAAUAUGGAGAUCUGGUUCUCAGGGGAAUAUCAAUUGUAAGUUUGUCGUCAUCAAAAAGGGGAAAAUUGAUAGGUUACAAGUACAUUUGGCACAAGUACUUUACUUUAUGUUUUGAUGAUCUAACAAACUUACUAUUUAGAACCAGAUAAGAAACUUGUUACACAUCUACAAGAUCUUGAGAUCACAAAGUUCCAGGAUGGGAUCUAUCCCUUGGGAAAGCAAGGUGAAUGCUAUUACUGAAUAAAAGGACCUAUAUGAGCUGACCAUAGAUAAGCUGGUUAGAAAUCUGAAAACCUACGAGAUGAAGAGGAAGAUAGAAAGUGAAAAAAGAGAACCAAAGAAAGAAAAGAACCUAGUACUCAAAGAUGAUAGUAAUGACUCAAGUGAUGAAGAGUAGAAGGAUUAGCUUAGGGAACAUGUCCCUACUAGUUCCCGAUGAGGCUGUAUGAAGUCAACUCUUCGGUAGAAAAGUUGCUGCCUGCACACGCUAUUGUACAUGAACAGUUGAACAGUCAACUUUCUGUGGAAGGAUUUUUACCUACCUUGCUUACAUCAUUGUAAGUAAUGUCACACAUGUAUAUAUACAAUCAAGGAAGGUAGCAUAACUUACUUCAUGUGAGAACCAGAUAAAGGACCUAAAGUCUGGUACAAUCAUUCAAGUUAAUUGACUCAAGAUAAUAUGGGCAUUGUGCUUUAGAUUCAUAGGAACCAGAUUAGGGAUCUGAUACCUUGUUGUUCCCCUGAAAGAAGUACAAGUCAAACGUACAGCUGGAAAACAACUACAGAAAGUGACUGCCUGCAACAAUGCAACAGACAGUACAAUAGUCGCUUCCCAUUGAGAUUGGACAUCACUAAAGUAAUAUCUUUUGUAUUAUAAAACCUUAUGCAAGGCACAAGUUCGAGUUCUAAGACUUGUAAAAUCAGAAAUGAAAUCCACUCUCAAGUGCAAGAACAACCUCUCUCAAGAACAAAGCUGCUUCAACUUCAAGGACGUGAUCUAAGAUCGAAGAUAUCUUAAGUCCUUAGGUUUGUUGAGCCUUUGUUAUUUGUUCUUCAAUUGUAACUCCCUUCUUGCUUUCUUAGAAGCUAUGUUUAGGAAACCCAAAAUCACAAAACCCUCCAAGUUUGUGUCUUGGCUAGAGUUAUUCGAGUCGUAAAGACUUUGUAAUAGAGUUAUUACAAAGUGGCUUGUAAUAAGGUUAUUACAAGUUAGAGUGACAAAAGCCUUUGUAACUGUUGAGUGACAAAGUGGCUAGUGGUGAGAGCAUCACAAGUUAGUAAAAUCCAUUGUAAUUAUGGAGUCACAAAGUGACUUGUGGUAAGAGUACCACAGGUUAGUUGAGUUAUAUUAUUUAUAAUGGAGUCAUUACAAAGUGGCUUGUAAUAGGUUUUUACAGGUUAGUGAAGUUGAAAGCCUACAAGUGUAGGUCGUGAUUUUUGUUCCCUUGAGUUGGGAUAUUUCCACGUAAAAGUCCUCUGUGUUCUUUACUUAUUGCCGAGCUACUGUGGUAACAAUUAGAGAACCUAAUUCCUUGUAUUGAUUGGUUGCACAGUCUAUUGCUUACAAUAGGAACUGCUAGAGAAUCUGGUUCUUUAUAUAGUGAGAACUUAUCAUGUGUCUCAUCUGCAUACUGAUUCCACUGUUAGCAUUGUACCAAACUGAUAUAGGACAAGAUCGCUAUAUAGUUUGGUGUCUCAGUAUUUUCAGUGGAAACUCAUAGAGAACCCGAUUCUCUGUACAGUCUGGUGGAUGCUCAGUUUCUAAUAGUAUCAAUUUUGGAUCAUGCUAUAAAGAAGGAAGGGACAACCUUAACGUACCUAAAGCAGGGAAAGAUUCGUAUAAUAUUCUUGAGAAAGAUUACACCCACAAAAAUAAGAACUUUAAAAGCA
rnacentral:lncRNA from 1 species